AAAGGAUGCCUGGCCUAGCCAGGUCUUACAACCUCAAUCUGCCUGGCCCGGCCAGGUCUUACACUCUGCCCGCCUGGCCCAGCCAGGUCUUACUAUCUUUGCUGCCUGAUCUAGUCAAGUCUUACCUACAGAUGGCUGCCUGGCCCGGCCAGGUCUUAUAACAGAGUUUGGGCUAUUGGAGUCGCCUUGGUCUAUCCACAGCCUCAUACACAUCGUAUUAUGCAAUGCGUCAACUUCGUGAAACUAAUGCAAACACCCUACUAUACUCUUAUGAUGCAUGACAUAUGCUCAAAAUAGUUUAGUGCUGAAAAGAGAAGUUCCAC
rnacentral:lncRNA from 1 species